rnacentral:tRNA from 1 species
GUUUUUGUAGUUGAAUAACAACGGUGAUUUUUCAGGUCAUAGGUCUUGGUUUGUGCAAGCAAGAACA